AUCUCGUUUGUACUAAUUUUGUUACAAAGUAUUACCCCAAUAUCUUAAAUAAAAUGCUUCAACUGAUAUAAAACAUCCUUUGUGCAUUAUAAGGCACAUCGUAACGGGUUCAAUGAUCCCUUACUCAAGGUCAGUCAUAUUUCAAGGACGUGCACUUGAAAUCAAAAUGGAAAGACAUUCUGUAUGCAUUUACCGGGAAUGAAUAGCGACAAACGAGCUACUUUUAACAUAGUGUUCGUUUCUGAUAGCGACAAAACACAUUACGUCUCGCGCAACUACUUUCGAUAAAUUCCUCGACGAGAUAUUUCUCAAGUUUAUUUUCGACACGGCACGAAUUAAUUAUUCGAUACGCGAAUACGAUGCGCGUUACAUUUGCCCUUAUCUGCUUUUUCCAAUACAACUCUACCUCGCUCUGUUCAAUUUGCCAGGCCAACUUUCCGCCCACACGAAGAAAAGACAAGACGACUGAUAACGCCGUCAAAAUAAAGUAAAAAAAAAAUAUAUAUAUGCACAUAAGAAUGCAUAUGAAUAGAUGCUACAGUGUCGAAGCGAUAGACGAUAGUGACGUGAGAGAGGCACAGGAUUUCCAGCGAAGUUUGCCUGUUGUCCAGCCGUCCUAAAGGGACAACUAGAACGCCGUGAGAGGGUGGGAGUCUCUAUAUUAAAUCAUGGGCGAGACUUCUGCUGAAAGCCAGUCGUUCGCGAAGCGUUGAAACAUACGUGAAGGAUUUCUGCGUCUGCCGGUUCUCGUAGAUUACUAAAUAUUUUUUCAUCCUCAAGUUGUAUCGCCUUAGAUCGUGUCGGUUCGUCGACCCCAUCGCACAAUCAUUCGCGUUGAUAAAGACUGGGAAGAAAUUGUUCAGGGGAGGGAAGAGCUCGAAGAGAGAUUUGAUUCUAAUCGUUGAUCGAGAAGAUGAAGUGGGCUGGAAAAAACUGAGAAAAA
rnacentral:lncRNA from 13 species